rnacentral:tRNA from 1 species
GCGAGAGUGGCGGAACUGGCAGACGCGCACGUUUGAGGGGCGUGUGAUUUGUUCGUACGGGUUCAAGUCCCGUUUCUCGCACCA